GCCUGCCGCCAUACUACCUCCAAUUAUGAUCUCAUCAGAUCUCACAAGCUAAGCAGGCUCCAGCCAUGUCAGCAGUUGGUUGGGAAACGUCCAAGGAAAAGCUAAGCGCUUCAGGAA
ensembl:rRNA 5S_rRNA 5S ribosomal RNA